UACGUAGGGUGCGAGCGUUGUCCGGAAUUAUUGGGCGUAAAGGGCGCGUAGGCGGCUUGGCAAGUGGAAGGUGAAAUCCCUCGGCUCAACCGAGGAACUGCCCUCCAAACUGCUUGGCUUGAGACCGGGAGAGGUGAGUGGAAUUCCCAGUGUAGCGGUGAAAUGCGUAGAUAUUGGGAGGAACACCAGUGGCGAAGGCGGCUCACUGGACCGGUACUGACGCUGAGGCGCGAAAGCGUGGGGAGCAAACAGG
rnacentral:rRNA from 1 species